rnacentral:rRNA from 1 species
AUAAGCUACAAAGAGCGUAGGGAGGAUGCCUUGGUAUAUGGCGCCGAAGAAGGACGUGACAAGCUGCGAAAAGCCGUGACGAGUUGCACAUAAACGAAUGUAAUCACGGAUGUCCGAAUGAGGGAACUCAGCGCGAGUAAUAUUGCGUUACGAUAUAAUGAAACGAUAGUUAUAUCGGGGGAACCCGGGGAACUGAAACAUCUAAUUACCCGGAGGAAAAGAAAGUAAAAACGAUUCCGAAAGUAGUGGCGAGCGAAAUCGGAAGAGCCCAAACGACAUAUAGAAAUAUGUGUCGGGUAAGGACUUGCGAGAAGUGAACGGAAGACCUAGUCGAAGAGAUUUGGAAAAGUCAGUCAAAGAGGGUAAAAGCCCCGUAGACGAAAGGUCAGUCCGACGCGAGCAAGAAUCCGGAGUACGUCGGGACACGAGGAAUCCUGACGGAAGGAAGGAGGACCAUCUCCUAAGGCUAAAUACGACCAUAUGACCGAUAGAGUAUAGUACCGUGAGGGAAAGGUGAAAAGAACCCCGGGAGGGGAGUGAAAAAGAACCUGAAACCCUAUGCUUACGAGCAGACAUAGCACUAUUAAGAGUGUGGUGUCGUACUUUUUGUAGAACGGGCCGGCGAGUUACGACGAUAUGCGAGGUUAAGAUGUAAAGCAUCGGAGCCGAAGCGAAAGCGAGUUUGAAAAGAGCGAAUAUAGUAUAUUGUCGUAGACCCGAAACCGGAUGACCUAACCAUGAGCAGGUUGAAGCAGCGGUAAAACGCUGUGGAGGACCGAACGCACGCCUGUUGAAAUAGUCGGCGAUGACUUGUGGUUAGCGGAGAAAUUCCAAUCGAAUCCGGAUAUAGCUGGUUCUCCUCGAAAUAGCUUUAGGGCUAGCCUGUAGCAAGAAUACCGCCGGUAGAGCACUGUAUGGUCUAGGGGGUUUCACGACCUACCGAAACUUAACAAACUUCGAAUGACGGAUAUUUGAUGCUAUGGAGUCAGACGGCGACAGAUAAGUGCCGUCGUCAAAAGGGAAACAGCCCAGAUCCGCAACUAAGGUCCCCAAGUACAGGUUAAGUGGAAAACGAUGUGUCAUUGCAUAAACAACCAGGACGUUGGCUUAGAAGCAGCCACGCGUUCAAAGAGUGCGUAAUAGCUCACUGGUCGAGUGAUGGUGCGCGGAAGAUUCACGGGGCUAAAACCUGACACCGAAGUUCGGGAAUACAAUUUAUUGUAUUGGUAGAGGAGCAAUCUAUACGGGCGGAAGCGAUACCGAAAGGAGUCGUGGACUGUAUAGAAGAGAGAAUGCCGGCAUAAGUAGCGAGAGAGAGGCGAGAAACCUCUCCGUCGAGAGUCUGAGGUUUCCCGGGGAAGGUUCGUCCGCCCGGGGUAAGUCGGGACCUAAGUCGAGGUCGAAAGGCGUAGAUGAUGGACAACCGGUAGAAAUUCCGGUACUGCCGAAGAUCGAUUAAAUGAAGCGAUGACACAGAAGGAUAGUCAAACCGUGCGGAUGGAAAAGCGCGGCCAAGGCGAGGAGCGGGCAUAGAGUGAAGUACCUAUGUAGGAAGCUUAGCGCCGAUGGGGAAGUGAAGAAAAGUAAAUAAGUUGACGAAUCCACGCUGGCGAGAAAAGUCGCUAAAUAAGGUCGGAGGCACCCGUACCGCAAACCGACACAGGUAGACGCGAAGAAAAUUCAUAGACGAACGGGAGAACCCUUGUUAAGGAACUCGGCAAAAUGACCCCGUAACUUCGGGAGAAGGGGAGCCAACGCGAGUUGGUCGCAGUGAAGAGGUCCAAGCAACUGUUUAGCAAAAACACAGGUCUCUGCGAAAUCGAAAGAUGACGUAUAGGGGCUGACGCCUGCCCAGUGCCGGAAGGUUAAGGGGAGAUGUGCAAGCAUUGAACUUAAGCCCCGGUGAACGGCGGCCGUAACUAUAACGGUCCUAAGGUAGCGAAAUUCCUUGUCAGGUAAGUUCCGACCCGCACGAAAGGCGUAAUGAUUUGGGCACUGUCUCAACAAC